UACAGAGGGUGCAAGCGUUGUCCGGCAUUACUGGGCGUAAAGGGCGCGUAGGCGGCUUGCUAAGUAGGGGGUGAAAUUUCGUGGCUCAACCACGAAACUGCCUUCUAAACUGUCAGGCUUGAGCACGGUAGAGGCAGAUGGAAUUCCCGGUGUAGCGGUGGAAUGCGUAGAGAUCGGGAAGAACACCAGUGGCGAAGGCGGUCUGCUGGGCCGUUGCUGACACUGAGGCGCGACAGCGUGGGGAGCAAACAGG
rnacentral:rRNA from 1 species